rnacentral:rRNA from 1 species
UGAUGCGGGAUGCUAUACAUGCAAGUCGAGCGGACAGAUGGGAGCUUGCUCCCUGAUGUUAGCGGCGGACGGGUGAGUAACACGUGGGUAACCUGCCUGUAAGACUGGGAUAACUCCGGGAAACCGGGGCUAAUACCGGAUGGUUGUUUGAACCGCAUGGUUCAAACAUAAAAGGUGGCUUCGGCUACCACUUACAGAUGGACCCGCGGCGCAUUAGCUAGUUGGUGAGGUAACGGCUCACCAAGGCGACGAUGCGUAGCCGACCUGAGAGGGUGAUCGGCCACACUGGGACUGAGACACGGCCCAGACUCCUACGGGAGGCAGCAGUAGGGAAUCUUCCGCAAUGGACGAAAGUCUGACGGAGCAACGCCGCGUGAGUGAUGAAGGUUUUCGGAUCGUAAAGCUCUGUUGUUAGGGAAGAACAAGUACCGUUCGAAUAGGGCGGUACCUUGACGGGUACCUAACCAGAAAGCCACGGCUAACUACGUGCCAGCAGCCGCGGUAUUACGUAGGUGCAAGCGUUGUCCGGAAUAAUUGGGCGUAAGGGCUCGCAGGCGGUUUCUUAGUCUGAUGUGAAGGCCCCCGGCUCACCGGGGGAGGUCCUUGGAACUGGGGAACUUGGAGUGCAAAGAAGAAAGGGGAUCUCCAGGGUAGCGGCGAUGUGCA